rnacentral:rRNA from 1 species
CCUACGGGAGGCAGCAGCUAAGAAUAUUCCGCAAUGGGCGAAAGCCUGACGGAGCGACGCCGCGUGGACGAUGAAGGCCGGAAGGUUGUAAAGUCCUUUAGUCUGUGAGGAAUAAGCGGUGGAGGGAAUGCCACUGCGGUGACUGUAGCAGAAGAAUAAGCACCGGCUAAUUACGUGCCAGCAGCCGCGGUAAU